rnacentral:rRNA from 1 species
UCGCCUACGGGAGGCAGCAGUGGGGAAUAUUGGGCAAUGGGCGCAAGCCUGACCCAGCGACGCCGCGUGAAGGAAGAAGGCUUUCGGGUUGUAAACUUCUUUUCUCAGGGACGAAGCAAGUGACGGUACCUGAGGAAUAAGCCACGGCUAACUACGUGCCAGCAGCCGCGGUAAUACGUAGGUGGCAAGCGUUAUCCGGAUUUACUGGGUGUAAAGGGCGUGUAGGCGGGAAAGCAAGCAAGAUGUGAAAACUCAGGGCUCAACCCUGAGCCUGCAUUU